rnacentral:tRNA from 1 species
GAAAGGUAGGCUAUUAUAAGCCUGUGAGCCCAUGACUCACCGAAGGAUUCUUCUCCCCUUUCU